rnacentral:rRNA from 1 species
CNGUGAAACWGCAGAUGGCUCAUUAAAUCAGUUAUAAUUUCUUUGAUGGUCGUAGUUUCUUUUUCUUUUUUCAUAUUUCGGUGUGGAAAGAGAGGAAUGAAAUACUAAAUGGAUAGCCGUACUAAUUGUGGAGCUAAUACAUGCACUGAUAAGACCUUUUUUGGUUUUAUUAUUGAAAGAGUCUCAAUCCCAAGUCUCGAUUUGGGAGAGAGAUGUGUUUAUUAGACGCGAAACUAUGUCUCUUCGGAGGCUACGGUGAAUCACAAUAACCUGAUCGAAUCGCAUGUUCUUUCAUUUUGGAAGGAUGGCGAUAGUUCAUUCAAAUUUCUGCUUUAUCAACUUUUGUCGGGUGUAUAGAGGACAUCUGAGGUGAUAACGAAUGGCGGGGAAUAAGGGUUCGGUUCCGGAGAGGGCGCCUGAGAAAUGGCGACCACAUCCAAGGAAGGCAGCAGGCGCGCAAAUUACCCAAUCCUAACACAGGGAGGUAGUGACAAGAAAUAUCAAUACCGGGUUCUUUUAGAGCUUGGUAAUUGAAAUGAGUACAAUUUAAACCCCUUAACGAGGAUCAACUGGAGGGCAAGUCUGGUGCCAGCAGCCGCGGUAAUUCCAGCUCCAGUAGCGUAUAUUAAAGUUGUUGCAGUUAAAAAGCUCGUAGUUGGAUUUGUGGUGUGUUCCUUUUGUGUGGUUCUUGACGCACUUUUGGUUUUUUGCCAUUGGUGUUUGUCAGUAUCACCAACACAUCAUCCUUGAUGGGAUUUAGAGUCAUUUCGACUUUUUAUUCUCAUCAUCCUUUACUUUGAAAAAAUUGGAGUGAUUCAAGCAGGCGAAAUACAACUCAUUUUACGUGAGUUAUUCAUUUUUGCUUCUGCACAUGUUAGCAUGGAAUAAUGCAAGAGGACUUGGGUUUUCUCUUUCAUUGGUUUCAGGAAUCCGAGUAAUGAUUGAUAGGGACAGUUGGGGGUGCUCAUAUUCGACGGCCAGAGGUGAAAUUCUUGGAUUCGUUGAGGAUGAACAACUGCGAAAGCAUUCACCAAGGAUGUCUUCUUUAAUCAAGAACGAAAGUUGGGGGAUCGAAGAUGAUCAGAUACCGUCGUAGUCCCAACCAUAAACGAUGCCGACCAGGGAUCAGCGAGCGUUGACUUUGCAUAACCUUUCACUUCUUGUGAUGGUUAUUGCAAAUCUCAUUUAUUUGAAACGACCUCGUUGGCACCUUGCGAGAAAUCACCAGUCUUUGGGCUCCGGGGGGAGUAUGGUCGCAAGGCUGAAACUUAAAGGAAUUGACGGAAGGGCACAACCAGCAGUGGAGCCUGCGGUUUAAAUUGACUCAACACGGGGAAACUUACCAGGUCCAGACAUCAUAAGGAUUGACAGAUUGAAGHUCUUUCUUGAUUYKRUGG